rnacentral:rRNA from 1 species
UGAGUGGCGAACGGGUGAGUAACAUGUGAGUAACCUGCCCUCUUCUUUGGGAUAACGCCCGGAAACGGGUGCUAAUACUGGAUAUUCACUGAUCUUCGCAUGGGGGUUGGUGGAAAGGUUUUUUCUGGUGGGGGAUGGGCUCGCGGCCUAUCAGCUUGUUGGUGGGGUGAUGGCCUACCAAGGCUUUGACGGGUAGCCGGCCUGAGAGGGUGACCGGUCACAUUGGGACUGAGAUACGGCCCAG